AUUAGAAAAAUAACAAAUCCGAUUUUUCCUCCUGAUUUUCAGUUUUUUCGUCCUGAAAAAAAUUCAAAUCCAACUAAAAAUUUUAAAAAUCAGGAGGAGAAAUCAUAUUUGUCAUUUUUCUAUU
rfam:Gossypium hirsutum cultivar TM-1 chromosome 2, whole genome shotgun sequence